GAAAUGCAAUAAGUAAUGUGAAUUGCAGAAUUCAGUGAAUCAUCGAAUCUUUGAACGCACAUUGCGCCCGCCAGUAUUCUGGCGGGCAUGCCUGUUCGAGCGUCAUUUCAACCAUCAAGCCCCCGGCUUGUGUUGGGGACCUGCGGCUGCCCGCAGGCCCUGAAAAACAGUGGCGGGCUCGCUGUCACACCGAGCGUAGUAGCAUACAUUCUCGCUCAGGGCGUGCUGCGGGUUCCGGCCGUUAAACGACCUUCAUAACCCAAGGUUGACCUCGGAUCAGGUAGGAAGACCCGCUGAACUUAAGC
rnacentral:misc_RNA from 1 species